CCCUUGAAAGUGUGCGUAAUAACUCACUGAUCGAACACUCUUGCACUGCUGAAGCUAUAGGGUGUAAAAAUGCCUCUGUAGGGGAGCAUUCCGCCGCAGAAACGAGAAUGUCGGCUUUAGUAACGCAAACAUUGGUCAGUAUCCAAUGCCCCGAGAACCUAAGGGUUCCUUUGCAAGAUUCAUCCACAGAGGGUGAGUCAGGGCCUAAGAUCAAGCUGAAAGGAGUAGUC
rnacentral:rRNA from 1 species